rnacentral:lncRNA from 1 species
AAACAGUGAGACUAGCCUGACAGCCUGUUUACAGCUGAUUAAAUCUAGGUGGUGUUUUGACACUGCUCAAGUCUGAGUUGAUGUCAUUGUAACUGUCAGAAAACAUCAGAAUUCAAACUUCAUGUGCUCCAUGGGUGCAUUCAAAAGCACAAACUCCGAAAUCUCUGUUAAUGUAGUCUGGAUGAUGGUCAAAUGAGAUCAGCCGAUCUUUGGAUACGCUGUCAAAACCCCAUCAUCGGAUCACACCGAGGAUUCUUGGGCGUAAUCUCUAACAGACCAUGAAGAUGGAGGAAAACUGUCAAACAACAUAAAAAAAGGAAAGUCCAGAAGUGUCAGGACAGAACACAGGGCUGGACUCAGAUGCAGAGUUUAAGAGGUUUUAAUCCCUGAAAGACACUAUAGCUGUGGUACAUGAAUCACCCAAACAAACUGGCACAGGACAAAGGGAGACUCCGACUAUUUAAGGCACGAGGAAGGGAAACACAGGUGGAAACAAUCAGGGAAGAUUAAACAGUCACACCUGUAGAGAAUAGACAAGGGCAGGAAGUAACAAGGCCUGAAACAAGAGGAGACAAACAUGGACCAAAAGUGCACAACUCAGGACAUGAGAUGAGACUGAAGAGACUUGACAAGAAGAGUUUUCUGGAAGGAUUGGACCGACGGUGUUGCUGCUGACAGACGUUUAGUUGCGGCUGCUGCAGGUGGAUCUGCUGUAAAGACACACAAACCUGUGAGAGCUGAGAGCCUUUCUGCUGAAGCUGAAAACAUGACGCUGUGUUUUCAGGCCGGCGGCCAUUUCUGCUAUGAUGUGAUCUCUUUGAGUGUGUUAUUUAUGACCUGGGGGGUUGGAUUUUCUCAGCGUCAUCGUCCAUCAGGGCUUUUAUGGAUUGAUAAGUCUACGGUCAGCCUUCUCAGAGCUCGUAAACAGGACCACCUGACCAUCCCCAAUGCUCCUGUGGCAGACUGCCCCCCCUCUCCUCCCCGGACUGCGCCCCCCACCAUGAAGUCGGCCCACUUCUUCGACACGAUGGACAUGAUGGAGGUAAGACCGUCUUCGCCGCAGUUUUGAAUGCAUGUUUGCGUGAAACUCAACAAGCUGGAGACUCUACCCCAUGAUAUGGAAACUGUGUUUGGAGAGUGAAAGCGUCUUUCUUCCUCUGACAAACAGAAUUCUUCUGUAAGAACUAACACCAGAAGAAACCUGCUGCUGAACACACCUGUGAUUCUCAGAGUGUCUAGUGUUGACGCAUUCUGCUUUUUUGUGCCUCAAAAAUGUCCCGAGUCGAGUCUCCAGAGGAAUGUUAAUUCCUGUUUAACUGUUUCCUGUAUGAUUGGAAGUGCCUGAAGACCCCAAAGCUUCCUGGGAAAACCCACGUGGACCUCAAAGGUCUGAUGAGGCUCAGUUAAAUGUGGCAUUGAAGAAAGCAUUUAGGAGUUAUUGAAAUAACAAAAUAAAGUUCAAAUGUUCAUUUGAUCAUCAACUAAAUGAUUUCAAAUCCUAUACGCUGCUUCUAGUUAUAUUUGUGUUAUUUAAGUAUGCCUGCUUUUAAUCAAAUACAGUAAAAUUUUUAUACAUUUCAGAACAACAAUAAUUUAAUAAACAAUUUUAGAAUUUCAUCAAAUCUAUUAUUUUAAGCCACAUAAACAGUUUUAACAGGAAUUGUAGGAUUGUUUUGCACAUUAUUUUGCAGUGUUGGGAUUGGCAAUAUUUUGUUCCAUUUUAUGAUCUAAAAAAAGGGUUUGGGGGGGGGGGGGUUAGCUAUAUUUAGCACAAUUUUCCUUUUUUAAAUGUUCUACAAUUUUCAAUUUAAACUUGAAUGACACUUGGUUCUUUUUUUUCUGCCGUCUUCUGUUCUUUGAGCAUUUACCUCCUUUGUUAUUUGACGUUUUUUACGCAUGCAGAGUCACAUUUUGAGCAUUUGUCCUUUGAAGAUGUAAUGUCGACGAUAAAGAGAAGACAAGCGUGGUUUUAAACAAGGCUUGCAUUGUUUUGGUUAUAAAAUCCAGAGAUCUUGUUUUCUGACCUUGAUGACUGAUGUCCCUCUCUGGCAGCAGCCACUGCGAUCUUGCGUUGCGCUGAGUGAAUGGGAGGUGCUGUGAAAGGUUCAGGGGUGGGUUCAGACUCAACUGUGUCUUCUCUUCCUGACGGGGGUGCAGC